GAGUUUGAUCAUGGCUCAGAUUGAACGCUGGCGGCAGGCUUAACACAUGCAAGUCGAACGGUAGCAGGAGAAAGCUUGCUUUCUUGCUGACGAGUGGCGGACGGGUGAGUAAUGCUUGGGAAUCUGGCUUAUGGAGGGGGAUAACUACGGGAAACUGUAGCUAAUACCGCGUAGUAUCGGAAGAUGAAAGUGCGGGACCGUAAGGCCGCAUGCCAUGAGAUGAGCCCAAGUGGGAUUAGGUAGUUGGUGGGGUAAAGGCCUACCAAGCCUGCGAUCUCUAGCUGGUCUGAGAGGAUGGCCAGCCACACUGGAACUGAGACACGGUCCAGACUCCUACGGGAGGCAGCAGUGGGGAAUAUUGCACAAUGGGCGCAAGCCUGAUGCAGCGACGCCGCGUGAGGGAUGGAGGCCUUCGGGUUGUGAACCUCUUUCGCCAGUGAAGCAGGCCUGCCUCGUUUGUGGGUGGGUUGACGGUAGCUGGAUAAGAAGCGCCGGCUAACUACGUGCCAGCAGCCGCGGUAAUACGUAGGGCGCGAGCGUUGUCCGGAAUUAUUGGGCGUAAAGAGCUCGUAGGCGGCUGGUCGCGUCUGUCGUGAAAUCCUCUGGCUUAACUGGGGGCUUGCGGUGGGUACGGGCCGGCUUGAGUGCGGUAGGGGAGACUGGAACUCCUGGUGUAGCGGUGGAAUGCGCAGAUAUCAGGAAGAACACCGGUGGCGAAGGCGGGUCUCUGGGCCGUUACUGACGCUGAGGAGCGAAAGCGUGGGGAGCGAACAGGAUUAGAUACCCUGGUAGUCCACGCCGUAAACGUUGGGCACUAGGUGUGGGGGGCCUUUUCCGGGUCUUCCGCGCCGUAGCUAACGCAUUAAGUGCCCCGCCUGGGGAGUACGGCCGCAAGGCUAAAACUCAAAGGAAUUGGCGGGGGCCCGCACAAGCGGCGGAGCAUGCGGAUUAAUUCGAUGCAACGCGAAGAACCUUACCAAGGCUUGACAUGUGCCGGUCUGCUCCGGAGACGGGGUUUCCUCCUUUGUGGGGGCUGGUUCACAGGUGGUGCAUGGUUGUCGUCAGCUCGUGUCGUGAGAUGUUGGGUUAAGUCCCGCAACGAGCGCAACCCUUGUCUCGUGUUGCCAGCACGUUGUGGUGGGGACUCGCGGGAGACUGCCGGGGUCAACUCGGAGGAAGGUGGGGAUGACGUCAAAUCAUCAUGCCCCUUAUGUCUUGGGCUUCACGCAUGCUACAAUGGCCGGUACAGAGGGCUGCGAUACCGUGAGGUGGAGCGAAUCCCUUAAAGCCGGUCUCAGUUCGGAUCGGUGUCUGCAACUCGACACCGUGAAGUUGGAGUCGCUAGUAAUCGCAGAUCAGCAACGCUGCGGUGAAUACGUUCUCGGGCCUUGCACACACCGCCCGUC
rnacentral:rRNA from 1 species